rnacentral:pre_miRNA from 1 species
AUCCGUGGUAGUUAUGGCCAUGUUUUAAAGGUUCAUGGUCUAAUUUCCAUGGAUUC